ACCGACAUACUCCCUUGUGUGGCAUACCACACCUUGCACAAACUGCAUUAUCCGCACCAGAGCUUGAGCCACUCCCUAGUCCCAGACUAGACUUAACCUUGUUCCAGAACUUGUUCUUCUUAGACUUCCUGGGACCUCUGUUCCACUUCUUGCUACCUGAAGCUGCUGCACUCAUUGAAGAAGAGCCUGGGGUCUUAGAACCAGAAGGCUGUGCCACUGACUGUUUAAUUGUCCCCUGAACGAUGGCACUGGCCUCCAUUUUUCGGGCCAUAUCCACUAUGGCAUGGAAGCUCUCCCUAUCUGCUGACUGGAUCAAGGAGGAAUAUCUGGAGUGGAGUUUCAUGAUAUACCUCCUUGACCUUUUCUGGUCUGAAUCAAGGUUUUACCCUGCAAAUGGCAACAACUCC
rnacentral:lncRNA from 1 species